rnacentral:lncRNA from 1 species
GCUGUUUUAGAUUUAUAUUUUAAGCUAAUAUUACAAUUAUUUAUGUUUUUUUACACCUGUGUUUAUAAACCUGUGACAACCUAUUUUAUUAUUGAAAAUGUGAGUUAUUAAAAAAACCAAAAUUGCACUCCAAUAAACCUCUCUGACCUUUAUUUUCAUACAACAAUUAACAGAAUAUAAAAAAUCAUAAACAUGACAAGAUAAGCCAGUCAAUUCCUCAUCCAGAACAUUCCCCUAUUACAGUAGCAACAACCAUAAAGGUGAUAAGCUGUACUUAAGCUCUGCUAAGGCACUUUUAAUGUAAACAGAUCCACACCAGUGAUAGCUUUCCAUACAGGUUGUUUUGCCUUUUUCAAACCUUUCAAUGUGGAGUUUGCAUGAGGGCAAAGGUUAAACUACUUUGUUUGUGUGGGGGGGGGGGGGUUGUAGCCGAUAAGAUUUUUUAUUUAUUUUUUUGGACGCACUAUUUUGCGCUCCCCCUCUAGAUGGCGCUCUAGGCGGCCGCCUAACCCGCCUGUAGGGAAGGCCGCCCCUGUAUACAAUAUAAAUAUGAAAACAGAUACAGACAGUCGAUACAAAUACAGCUCACCAGUCACACACAGUCAUGAUCAGAUUCUGCCAAUAGAGGGAGGUGUUUGAUUGACAGGUGUCCGGUCUGCAAUCUCUCCCAUUGAAACUCUGCAAAGAUGAGAAAAGUACUUAUAAUCCAAUUUCAAAACUCAUUAAACACAUGCAAGGAAACCUGCUACAGUUCUAACGUAAACUAUCAUGGUUUCAGGCUUCAAAUUUCUUUUUUCUUCUACAUUAAGCAAAUCAUUGUCAUUAAUGUAGAAGAAAAAGAAAUGUAGACAACGGCGGCCGCCCAUUGGCUCGGAGUCUACACUCUUCUACACUUGCCGGCCGCUCAUUGGCCAGGAGUCUACACUCUCCUCCGAAGUGUAGACAAUGGCGGCCUCCCAUUGGCGCGGGGUCUACAGUUCCCUAGAGCCUUCCCCCUCCCCGACGUUGGCACUUGACGCUCUCCGAGCGAGUUCAGCCGAAUGGAAAAAGGUAAAAAGUCACCACCGUUUCACCCGUUACACGUCUACGAAGAGGACGACGCCACGCACUUGACGCUCUCCGAGCGAGUUCAGCCGAAUGGAAAAAGGUAAAAAGUCACCACCGAUUCACCCGGUAAGAGUCGCAUUCCUACUAAUAUUACUAAGUAAUAUGUUCGGCUUGUGCUUCUCGUUCCCACCGAGUGCUUUUCAUUCAUCAUAUCUGUCGUACCUAGCUUAUUAAUGUAUUUUUGCCCCUUUUUUCUUCCCACUCACUGCGGAGGCUAGUUUGCCCUAAUACAACCAGCCUCGUUCGCUUCAUGUCAACAACUUAGCCAUACAAAACUAUGUUUUUUAAGGUAGGUUUAUUAAAUUACUUUUUCCGUGAAUGAACUUGUUUAUCUUUGGGUUUAUUCAUAUGUUAAUGUGCUGCCGAUUUUUACUGUUGUGCUUGCUGUGUUCUUUGUAUAUAUUUAGCAGAUGCAAUCAUUCUUUUU